rfam:Trichoderma harzianum strain T6776 Scaffolds0096.1, whole genome shotgun sequence.
CUGUGUGAUGAACAAUUGACACCUCAGGGAUUCCUCAUGCUUAAUAUACGAUGUGGAUACCGUGUUUGAUAAGUUUCAGCCUUGUCUGAUC